rnacentral:rRNA from 1 species
AUACGGAGGAUCCGAGCGUUAUCCGGAUUUAUUGGGUUUAAAGGGUGCGCAGGCGGCCAUUUAAGUCAGCGGUUAAAUCGUGGGGCUCAACCCCAUUCUGCCGUUGAUACUGGGUGGCUUGAUUGCGGUCGAGGUUGGCGGAAUUCGUUAUGUAGAGGUGAAAUGCAUAGAUAUGACGAAGAACACCGAUUGCGUAGGCAGCUGACCAGACCGCAAAUGACGCUCAUGCACGAAAGUGCGGGGAUCGAACAGGAUUAGAUACCCUGGUAGUCCGCACAGUAAACGAUGAACACUUGUUUUCGGCGAUAUAAUGUCGGAGGCAAAGCGAAAGCGAUAAGUAUUCCACCUGGGGAGUACGCCGGCAACGGUGAAACUCAAAUGAAUUGACGGGG